GACGAACGCUGGCGGCGUGCUUAACACAUGCCAGUCGAACGGUGAAGCGCCUUCCUUUUUGGUGGGUGUGGAUGAGUGGCGAACGGGUGAGUAACACGUGAGUAACCUGCCCCCUUCUUCUGGAUAACCGCAUGAAAGUGUGGCUAAUACGGGAUAUUCUGGGUCUGUCGCAUGAUGGGUCUGGGAAAGAUAUUGUUUCGGUGGGGGAUGGGCUCGCGGCCUAUCAGCUUGUUGGUGGGGUGAUGGCCUACCAAGGCGGUGACGGGUAGCCGGCCUGAGAGGGUGGACGGUCACACUGGGACUGAGACACGGCCCAGACUCAUACGGGAGGCAGCAGUGGGGAAUAUUGCACAAUGGGCGCAAGCCUGAUGCAGCGACGCCGCGUGAGGGAUGGAGGCCUGCGGGUUGUGAACCUCUUUCGCCAGUGAAGCAGGCCUGCCUCGUUUGUGGGUGGGUUGACGGUAGCUGGAUAAGAAGCGCCGGCUAACUACGUG
rnacentral:rRNA from 1 species